rnacentral:rRNA from 1 species
GAAUUUCGGGACUCGUCAGUUGGUCGGGCUUAACUGUCCGUAUUGACUCGAUGGAUUCUUACCUUCUGAAUAACCAGCAUACUAUUAAUUUAGUGCGUUGGGGAAGCAGAUCUAUUACCUUGAAAAAAUUAAGAGUGCUUAAAGCGAGCUAGUGCUUGAAUAGAUU